UUUAGCUUAGUUGGUAAGACGACUGCCUUUGCGCGCCAAAAACCCUGUGCGCGCAGGUUCGAGUCCCGGC
rnacentral:tRNA from 1 species